GACAGAGGUGCCAAGCGUUAGGCGGAAUCACUGGGCUUAAAGCGCGUGUAGGUGGCGGCCUAAGUACCUUGUGAAAUCCCACGGCUCAACCGUGGAACUGCUUGGUAUACUGGGUCGCUUGAGUCAUCCAGGGGCAACUGGAACAAGCGGUGGAGCGGUGAAAUGCGUAGAUAUCGCUUGGAACGCCAAAGGCGAAAACAGGUUGCUGGGGAUGUUCUGACACUGAGACGCGAAAGCCAGGGGAGCGAACGGG
rnacentral:rRNA from 1 species